rnacentral:lncRNA from 1 species
UAUGUGUGCAAGCAAGCCAGAGUGUGCCAGAGGAGUGCUGGAGCUCCCAGCUUCCCUUUCUAGAUGAAAUUGCUGAUGCUGUAGGGAUCUUUUCAGCAAAGACCUUGGCAAAAUAAAUAGAGGGUUAAAGGAGGACGCUAGUGGUUAUUUGGAAAUGCAUAGGAUUUAACCAUGUCAGAGAUUCAAAUCUCUGUAAAAUUCUAGAACACUGAACCUAGACUUCAUGAACUGAAGAUAUAUAGGCAAGGUAAUGAGCAUCCAGCAGGAGAAGGGGACGUGUCCAAAACAGAAACGAAGGUGCUUGGAUUGUUCUUGGAAGAGAUGGAUGGAAUAUAUAUAUAUAUAAAUUGAGCCCUGAAUAAUCUUUGAGAUUUGGACUAGCGGAAAAAAUGGAGAAGAUGUGGUAGUGUCUUGGGGGACCCCUAUAAGGCUUCAGAAUGAAAGGCUUCCAGGACUGUGGGGGAGACAGCAGAAAACACUCUGGUUUUGGAGGCAGACAGGUUGAAUUCCAACCCAUGUUUAUCUACCUGGACGAGAUCUCAGAGAAGCUGAAUACCCUCUCUGGACCUUGGAAGGCAUUGGAGCUGAUGGCUUCUGGGCCUCUCAGUUCCAGCCGGGUGAUUCUAUGGCCUGAUGAAGAUUGGCUGCUCCUUCAGGGAUGGCUGCUGUUAGACACAAAUAGGUUUGAAUCCACCAGCAUGGAGCAAAAUGAAGAACACUGAACUAGAGAAUCACCGGAUUUAGCUUCAAAUCUUAACUCUACUAUGACUUUAGAAAAUUCUCUUAAUUUCUCUGGGUUUGUUUCCAUCCUUUGAACUAAGGAGAUUGGCCUAGGUUAUAAGUCUAAUAUCUCUUUGAGUUUUAAAUUUAUUGUUUCACCUGCAUAUGCAGGUAUCCAGUUUGUCUCUCUGUCUCUCCAAAAAAGAUGUUAUACAAAUAUAUAUUUCAUCUGGAUAUCCACUAGCUAUCUCUUAUUCAAUAUAGGUACAGUAAAAAUUUUUUUCUUCCCUCUGUCCCAAAAAUAUACAUCCUACAGCUUCCUGUGACUGUUGAAGAAACUACCAUCUUCCUAGUCGCCCCGCUUCACAAUCUCAACUUGACAUUAAAAGCUCUGUGGAACUGGGCUCCCCCCUUCCUUUGCAGAUUUUUUUUUCUACUCACCUUCAC